rnacentral:misc_RNA from 1 species
UCAAACUUGGUCAUUUAGAGGAAGUAAAAGUCGUAACAAGGUUUCCGUAGGUGAACCUGCGGAAGGAUCAUUAUCGAGUAUUUGCUGGGUUGUAGCUGGCCCUCUGUGGGGGCAUGUGCACGCCUGGUUUAUCCACUCUACACCUGUGCACUUACUGUGGGCUUCUCAGACAGUGAAGCGGGCGCGUUCGUGCGCUCACGGAGGCGUCUUGGGGGGCCUGCGUUUAUUACAAACUCGAAAGUAUUAGAAUGUGUAUUGCGAUGUAACGCAUCUAUAUACAACUUUCAGCAACGGAUCUCUUGGCUCUCGCAUCGAUGAAGAACGCAGC